ACAAAAUGAUAUUCCAGUCAGGAGCUCAGCCUCAUUCAACCCAUACACAUCCUGAGCAUCGCUUACAAUCACAGCCUAUUCGCUGCCAGUGCUGAUAACACUCCUCUCCCGGCUGUUUGUUCUGGCAGGGUGAUGGCGCUCCAGCGUACCUCCCAACCUGACCCUCUCCAGGACGGACAGAAUGCUCUGCUUCUGCACUUCCCUCUUAAUACGCACAUACAGUAUGAAUAUUAUUAAAGACAAGUGACUCACAACAUUGGUACAGCAUCCGGCCCCACAAGCAUACAGCACUGGCUACAGAAUUCUGCAGGGUUUAGAGUGCAGUGCUAGGGAACUGUAGAAGUCACCACAACAAGGCACUAAUGUUAAUGUUUAUAUGUAUUACCUUCCUCCUCAUCUCCAUUUACUAGA